UUCAAAACACAUCCCCAAAAUCUAUGGUUGAAGAUUAAAUGAUAAGAAUAUAAGCAAGACUAAAAACAAACAAAAAAGGAAAAAGGAUAAAAGCUAUAAAAAAAGUAUAAAAAAAAGGAGGUGCAAGCAGUAAAUAGAGUAAUUCGUAUGACCUAGAUCUUGGUCCAAUAAAAAAUAAUAAUAAAAAAAGAAAAUAGAAAAGGGGUUAAAACAAAAAAAUGGGGAUGUAUUGUUAAGAAAAUUUGAGGGGCCG
rnacentral:lncRNA from 1 species